rnacentral:lncRNA from 1 species
UUAAAUACAAAAGUAAUACAAAUAAAUGUAGUUACAGAGGACUUGAUCAUGGCCCAGAGACCAUUUAUUAAAGCAACAACCAUUACAAAUAGGGAUUUCCCUGAAGAGCAAAACAAGUACACUUACAAUGUGACUUUUUUUCAACUUUUACAAAUAAGCGGAUCAGUUUCAGCAAUUAGUUUGUAAAUCCUCACUUCCAAAGCUAACGCAAGUUGUUGUCCAGGAGCCAAUAUUUCAAUCACCAGUAUAUAACAAUGAACAAUCUUGUGUAUAAAGCCUUCUUUUAUCCAUGUUUCAGUGUCAUGCCUAUGCCUUGAUAUGCCAACAAUCGCAUUAAGAGUAGAAUCAGAUUAGUUUGUAACAACCAUUACAAAUAGGGAUUUCCCUGAAGAGCAAAACAAGUACACUUACAAUGUGACUUUUUUUCAACUUUUACAAAUAAGCGGAUCAGUUUCAGCAAUUAGUUUGUAAAUCCUCACUUCCAAAGCUAACGCAAGUUGUUGUCCAGGAGCCAAUAUUUCAAUCACCAGUAUAUAACAAUGAACAAUCUUGUGUAUAAAGCCUUCUUUUAUCCAUGUUUCAGUGUCAUGCCUAUGCCUUGAUAUGCUAACAAUCGCAUUAAGAGUAGAAUCAGAUUAGAUGAUGCCAUCUGUAUUAAGACCUAUGAUGCUCGGAGUCGGGUAUGGGAAUCGAGUACGGUACGUAUGUAAGUGUCGGAUCUUUUAAAUUUUAAAAUGUAGGAUACGGGAAUAUGGCUAAAAGGAAUCUAAAUUUUGGAUAUGGGUACGUGGAUAUGUUUUUCAAACUUCAAUUUUUUUAUUAACUCGAGAUGUUAUUUUGAAUAGACCAAAAUCAAUUGUUCACGAAGAAUGAAAUAGUAUUGAAUAAGGAGUUAAGAUGAAUAAAAUAGAAUUUUGGGGUUUAGUUUUUAAUUAUGAGAAGCUAAUUACUAAGUGUUAUAUAAAAUUAAAAAUGAGGGACUUGAUUGCAAUUUAAAUUUAGUGGAGCACUAAGUAAUAUUAUAUGGAACUUAUUUUUAGUUUAUACAAACAAAACCCUAAACCACCGAUACAGAGAGGAAAAGAAGGAAAAAAAAAGGGAAAGAAAAAGAAAGAAGAAGGGAAAAUCUAGUGCCGUCGCCUUUUUCCACCCUCCAACAGUAGUGCUUGAUUUUAGAGAGUAGAAACAGAAAGAAAAAGAAAAGAAAAAAGAAAGAAGUAAAAAACGAUGAAGUGUCCGGUAACACUUGGAAGAUCCGACACAUAUCCCAUACCCAUACCCAUACCCAUACCCAUGUCGUGUCGUGUCGUGUCGUGUCCGACACAAGUACUCCAACCAUUUCGAAGAGUCCGAGCAUCAAAGAUUAAGAUUGGGAAGAAAAUGCCAUUGAACUAAGGUACGAUAUGAAGGAGUAGAUCGUCUCUUGGAAUUUGAAAAUGC